UACGGAGGGUGCAAACGUUGCUCGGAAUCAUUGGGCGUAAAGCGCACGUAGGCGGCCUGUUAAGUCGGAUGUGAAAGCCCCGGGCUCAACCCGGGAAGUGCAUUCGAAACUGGCGGGCUUGAAUAUGGAAGAGGGUCGCGGAAUUCCCGGUGUAGCGGUGAAAUGCGCAGAUAUCGGGAGGAACACCAAUGGCGAAGGCAGCUCGCUGGGACGUGACUGACGCUGAGACGCGAAAGCGUGGGGAGCAAACAGG
rnacentral:rRNA from 1 species